UACGAAGGGAGCUAGCGUUGUUCGGAAUCACUGGGCGUAAAGCGCACGUAGGCGGAUUGCUAAGUCAGGGGUGAAAUCCUGGAGCUCAACUCCAGAACUGCCUUUGAUACUGGCGAUCUCGAGUCCGGGAGAGGUGAGUGGAACUGCGAGUGUAGAGGUGAAAUUCGUAGAUAUUCGCAAGAACACAAGUGGCGAAGGCGGCUCACUGGCCCGGUACUGACGCUGAGGUGCGAAAGCGUGGGGAGCAAACAGG
rnacentral:rRNA from 1 species